GACGAACGCUGGCGGCGUGCCUAAUACAUGCAAGUAGAACGCUGAAGGAGGAGCUUGCUUCUCUGGAUGAGUUGCGAACGGGUGAGUAACGCGUAGGUAACCUGCCUGGUAGCGGGGGAUAACUAUUGGAAACGAUAGCUAAUACCGCAUAACAGUAGAUAUCGCAUGAUAGCUGCUUGAAAGGUGCAAUUGCACCACUACCGAUGGACCUGCGUUGUAUUAGCUAGUUGGUGAGGUAACGGCUCACCAAGGCAACGAUACAUAGCCGACCUGAGAGGGUGAUCGGCCACACUGGGACUGAGACACGGCCCAGACUCCUACGGGAGGCAGCAGUAGGGAAUCUUCGGCAAUGGACGGAAGUGUUGAGGUGAGCAACGCCGCGUGAGUGAAGAAGGUUUUCGGAUCGUAAAGCUCUGUUGUAAGAGAAGAACGAGUGUGAGAGUGGAAAUGUUCACCAGGGGUGA
rnacentral:rRNA from 1 species